rnacentral:rRNA from 1 species
AGCAGCCGCGGUAAUUCCAGCUCCAAUAGCGUAUAUUAAGGUUGUUGCAGUUAAAAAGCUCGUAGUUGAAUUUCGGGAUCAGUACGUUGGUCGUGCCCUCGGUACGUACUGGCGUUACUGGUUCCUACCUUCUGAGGAACCGUUAUGUCAUUAAUUUGGUGUGAUGGGAAAUCAGGACUGUUACUUUGAAAAAAUUAGAGUGUUUAAAGCAGGCUCGCGCUUGAAUACAUUAGCAUGGAAUAAUGAAAUAGGACGUUCGAUCCUAUUUUGUUGGUUUCUAGGAUUGACGUAAUGAUUAAUAGGGAUAGUUGGGGGCAUUAGUAUUCAAUUGUCAGAGGUGAAAUUCUUGGAUUUAUUGAAGACUAACUACUGCGAAAGCAUUUGCCAAGGAUGUUUUCAUUAAUCAAGAACGAAAGUUAGGGGAUCGAAGACGAUCAGAUACCGUCGUAGUCUUAACCAUAAACUAUGCCGACUAGGGAUCGGAU